rnacentral:rRNA from 1 species
AGUAUGUUGGUUUAAUUCGAUGCAACGCGAAGAACCUUAACCUGGUCUUGACAUCCCGGAGACCCUUAGGAAACUAGGGGUGCUUCCAUCUGGAAGAAUCUGGAGACAGGUGCUGCAUGGCUGUCGUCAGCUCGUGUCGUGAGAUGUUGGGUUAAGUCCCGCAACGAGCGCAACCCUUGCCUUUAGUUGCCAGCAGUUCGGCUGGGCACUCUAAAGGGACUGCCGGUGUUAAACCGGAGGAAGGUGGGGAUGACGUCAAGUCCUCAUGGCCUUUAUGACCAGGGCUACACACGUACUACAAUGGCCGAUACAAAGGGCAGCGACACUGCGAGGUGAAGCCAAUCCCGUAAAAUCGGUCUCAGUCCGGAUUGGAGUCUGCAACUCGACUCCAUGAAGUUGGAAUCGCUAGUAAUCGUGGAUCAGCAUGCCACGGUGAAUACGUUCCCGGGCCUU